ACCUGGGUGGCUCAGUGGGUUAAGCGUCUGACUUUAGCUCAGGUCCUAAUGUCAGAGUUUGUGGGUUUGAGCCCUACCUUGGGCU
rnacentral:tRNA from 1 species